UACACGUCACGAAGAGGGACUUUAAUCAACAAAUUACACUCAGGUGGAAUACUUUACAUUUAGACAAAUCAUACAUUAAAUGUUAAAGAUAUUAUAUAUGUAUAUAAGAUUUUCUGUUGUGUGCAUUCAAUUUGUAUAAUUUUCCUGUGACUUUUGAACUUUUUUCUUACUUCUACAAAGAAGCAGAAGUGGACUGGACACCUGUGUUUAUGUAACCGAGUUUGGCAAACAAAUCAAAGUCCACAGAGAGAAAAAUAACAUUCUGUGCUCUUGGGUGAAAUGGGCAGCUCUUUAAAAAAAAAUACUGAGGAGAAACGCCAUCUUAGGCAGCAACAGGUGGUGAAAACCAGGUGAACACAUACCCGUCACCCGUGGACAGAAAAGCCACUUUAUCGAUUUAUAUCAUUACAUUUCUUUAGAAUUUAAUGUUAAAUUAAUAAGGUAAACAUUAAGCAGCAGUGAAUUAGUCGUUUGAAGCAUUUGACGCUAAUUUAGAUAAAACAAGUUCGCGUACAAUUAGCAGACAUGGCAACCGCGUUUAGCCGGCAGCCCAGCACUGUGGUCGCCUGUGUCCCGCUGUAUCAGAAACGCCAUCUUUUAAUACGUCAUUUCCGAGAGCCAAUCAUGAGGCCGUGCACACGGGAAGUAGGAGGCACACGCUGACCACGCCCACCAGACUUAAAUCCUAGUGAAGCGGCAAACAGUAUCACGUAACACCAGAAGAGGGCGGACGUGAGCUGAACAGGCCUAGUGUCGGCGCUCGUCUUGUUCUACUCAAAAGCGACAACGUAAUCGCGAAACCAGGAAGUCAAGUGCACAGCGACUCUUUUCAAACACUUUUACACCGAAAAAAAACAAUAAAACUGAUUUGUAUUAAUGUCCUCUGAGAACGGGAGACGUUCGAAACCUAAAGAAGAGCGAGAAGAACUUUUACGGGGAAGUAGGAGGGAGUUUCGCGAAAAGACUCGGGACAAACAAAGGAAACAAACGUCUGGAACCCAGGGGCCACGCCGAACCCCAGCUGGUCUAUGAACGAAGGCUCGUCCUGACUGUGGAUCUGAACUUUGACCCCAGCUUCAAAGGACGUCUCAUCUGCAGGACAAUGAAGAAAACUGGCAGGUACUCGUCCUGCGGAAUGUCCAGCAUGAUCUCCAGGCCGUUUCCCAUACCUCCUUUGGUGGUGAUCAGAGGAGGACGUCCAUCGCUUCCUGCAUUAAAGAUUCACCGAGUUGGACUGAAGAGCAGACCUGAGCAAAACUGCGGCCCGUGGGCCAGAUGCGGCCCGCUAGGCUUUCUACUCCGGCCCACCCUAAACUGGUACGAGGUACGGUACAGACUGAUGUCAGUCUUUGUGUUUCAUACGUUAUAACAAAUCAACUGUAAUUUCUGUUGGUUCCACUAGAGGGCGGCAGACAGUAAAUGUGCCAAAUUAUCUUUCUAAGAUUUAGGUUUAUACUGAGUUCAACGCACUAUUAAUAAAUUACUUAAAUCACGAUUAAUCCACAUCUACUUCGUGUUCAGUUAAACAUUGUGACAGAACCAAAACUGAUGAUA